UUCGCAAUGCCCGAAAGGGUGACGAAGCGACGCCGCGUGGGUGAGGAAGGCCUUCGGGUUGUAAAACCCUGUCAGGAGUUAAGAAAUGUAAGUUCGUUAAUACCGUACUUAUUUGACAAGGGCUCCAAAGGAAGCCACGGCUAACUCUGUGCCAGCAGCCGCGGUAAUACAGAGGUGGCGAGCGUUGCUCGGAAUUAUUGGGCGUAAAGAGCACGUAGGUGGGUUUGCAAGUCAGAUGUGAAAGCCUUCUGUUCAACGGAAGAAUUGCAUCUGAAACUGCUAAUCUUGAGUAUAGGAGGGGAGAAUGGAACUUCUGGUGGAGCGGUGAAAUGCGUAGAUAUCAGAAGGAACGCCGGCGGCGAAAGCGAUUCUCUGGCCUAUUACUGACACUCAGUGUGCGAAAGCUAGGGGAGCAAACGGGAUUAGAUACCCCGGUAGUCCUAGCCGUAAACGAUGGGCACUAAGUAGAGGGGUUUU
rnacentral:rRNA from 1 species